CGAAGGGUGCAAGCGUUACUCGGAAUUACUGGGCGUAAAGCGUGCGUAGGUGGUUCGUUAAGUCUGAUGUGAAAGCCCUGGGCUCAACCUGGGAAUGGCAUUGGAUACUGGCGAUCUAGAGUGCGGUAGAGGGCAGUGGAAUUCCCGGUGUAGCAGUGAAAUGCGUAGAGAUCGGGAGGAACAUCUGUGGCGAAGGCGACUGCCUGGACCAGCACUGACACUGAGGCACGAAAGCGUGGGGAGCAAACAGGAUUAGAUACCCUGGUAGUCCACGCCCUAAACGAUGCGAACUGGAUGUUGGGUGCAACUAGGCAACUCAGUAUCGAAGCUAACGCGUUAAGUUCGCCGCCUGGGGAGUACGGUCGCAAGACUG
rnacentral:rRNA from 1 species